rnacentral:rRNA from 1 species
GGGUUGUGAGGUUAAGCGACUAAGCGUACACGGUGGAUGCCCUGGCAGUCAGAGGCGAUGAAGGACGUGCUAAUCUGCGAUAAGCGUCGGUAAGGUGAUAUGAACCGUUAUAACCGGCGAUUUCCGAAUGGGGAAACCCAGUGUGAUUCGUCACACUAUCAUUAACUGAAUCCAUAGGUUAAUGAGGCGAACCGGGGGAACUGAAACAUCUAAGUACCCCGAGGAAAAGAAAUCAACCGAGAUUCCCCCAGUAGCGGCGAGCGAACGGGGAGGAGCCCAGAGCCUGAAUCAGUGUGUGUGUUAGUGGAAGCGUCUGGAAAGGCGCGCGAUACAGGGUGACAGCCCCGUACACAAAAAUGCACAUGCUGUGAGCUCGAUGAGUAGGGCGGGACACGUGGUAUCCUGUCUGAAUAUGGGGGGGACCAUCCUCCAAGGCUAAAUACUCCUGACUGACCGAUAGUGAACCAGUACCGUGAGGGAAAGGCGAAAAGAACCCCGGCGAGGGGAGUGAAAAAGAACCUGAAACCGUGUACGUACAAGCAGUGGGAGCACGCUUAGGCGUGUGACUGCGUACCUUUUGUAUAAUGGGUCAGCGACUUAUAUUCUGUAGCAAGGUUAACCGAAUAGGGGAGCCGAAGGGAAACCGAGUCUUAACUGGGCGUUAAGUUGCAGGGUAUAGACCCGAAACCCGGUGAUCUAGCCAUGGGCAGGUUGAAGGUUGGGUAACACUAACUGGAGGACCGAACCGACUAAUGUUGAAAAAUUAGCGGAUGACUUGUGGCUGGGGGUGAAAGGCCAAUCAAACCGGGAGAUAGCUGGUUCUCCCCGAAAGCUAUUUAGGUAGCGCCUCGUGAAUUCAUCUCCGGGGGUAGAGCACUGUUUCGGCAAGGGGGUCAUCCCGACUUACCAACCCGAUGCAAACUGCGAAUACCGGAGAAUGUUAUCACGGGAGACACACGGCGGGUGCUAACGUCCGUCGUGAAGAGGGGAAACAACCCAGACCGCCAGCUAAGGUCCCAAAGUCAUGGUUAAGUGGGAAACGAUGUGGGAAGGCCCAGACAGCGGGAUGUUGGCUUAGAAGCAGCCAUCAUUUAAAGAAAGCGUAAUAGCUCACUGGUCGAGUCGGCCUGCGCGGAAGAUGUAACGGGGCUAAACCAUGCACCGAAGCUGCGGCAGCGACACCUAUGCGUUGUUGGGUAGGGGAGCGUUCUGUAAGCCUGCGAAGGUGUGCUGUGAGGCAUGCUGGAGGUAUCAGAAGUGCGAAUGCUGACAUAAGUAACGAUAAAGCGGGUGAAAAGCCCGCUCGCCGGAAGACCAAGGGUUCCUGUCCAACGUUAAUCGGGGCAGGGUGAGUCGACCCCUAAGGCGAGGCCGAAAGGCGUAGUCGAUGGGAAACAGGUUAAUAUUCCUGUACUUGGUGUUACUGCGAAGGGGGGACGGAGAAGGCUAUGUUGGCCGGGCGACGGUUGUCCCGGUUUAAGCGUGUAGGCUGGUUUUCCAGGCAAAUCCGGAAAAUCAAGGCUGAGGCGUGAUGACGAGGCACUACGGUGCUGAAGCAACAAAUGCCCUGCUUCCAGGAAAAGCCUCUAAGCAUCAGGUAACAUCAAAUCGUACCCCAAACCGACACAGGUGGUCAGGUAGAGAAUACCAAGGCGCUUGAGAGAACUCGGGUGAAGGAACUAGGCAAAAUGGUGCCGUAACUUCGGGAGAAGGCACGCUGAUAUGUAGGUGAAGUCCCUCGCGGAUGGAGCUGAAAUCAGUCGAAGAUACCAGCUGGCUGCAACUGUUUAUUAAAAACACAGCACUGUGCAAACACGAAAGUGGACGUAUACGGUGUGACGCCUGCCCGGUGCCGGAAGGUUAAUUGAUGGGGUUAGCGCAAGCGAAGCUCUUGAUCGAAGCCCCGGUAAAGCGGCGGCCCGUAACUAUAACGGUCCUAAGGUAGCGAAAUUCCUUGUCGGGUAAGUUCCGACCUGCACGAAUGGCGUAAUGAUGGCCAGGCUGUCUCCACCCGAGACUCAGUGAAAUUGAACUCGCUGUGAAGAUGCAGUGUACCCGCGGCAAGACGGAAAGACCCCGUGAACCUUUACUAUAGCUUGACACUGAACAUUGAGCCUUGAUGUGUAGGAUAGGUGGGAGGCUUUGAAGUGUGGACGCCAGUCUGCAUGGAGCCGACCUUGAAAUACCACCCUUUAAUGUUUGAUGUUCUAACGUGGACCCGUAAUCCGGGUUGCGGACAGUGUCUGGUGGGUAGUUUGACUGGGGCGGUCUCCUCCUAAAGAGUAACGGAGGAGCACGAAGGUUGGCUAAUCCUGGUCGGACAUCAGGAGGUUAGUGCAAUGGCAUAAGCCAGCUUGACUGCGAGCGUGACGGCGCGAGCAGGUGCGAAAGCAGGUCAUAGUGAUCCGGUGGUUCUGAAUGGAAGGGCCAUCGCUCAACGGAUAAAAGGUACUCCGGGGAUAACAGGCUGAUACCGCCCAAGAGUUCAUAUCGACGGCGGUGUUUGGCACCUCGAUGUCGGCUCAUCACAUCACGGGGCUGAAGUAGGUCCCAAGGGUAUGGCUGUUCGCCAUUUAAAGUGGUACGCGAGCUGGGUUUAGAACGUCGUGAGACAGUUCGGUCCCUAUCUGCCGUGGGCGCUGGAGAAUUGAGGGGGGCUGCUCCUAGUACGAGAGGACCGGAGUGGACGCAUCACUGGUGUUCGGGUUGUCAUGCCAAUGGCACUGCCCGGUAGCUAAAUGCGGAAGAGAUAAGUGCUGAAAGCAUCUAAGCACGAAACUUGCCCCGAGAUGAGUUCUCCCUGACUCCUUGAGAGUCCUGAAGGAACGUUGAAGACGACGACGUUGAUAGGCCGGGUGUGUAAGCGCAGCGAUGCGUUGAGCUAACCGGUACUAAUGAACCGUGAGGCUUAACCUUACAACGCCGAAG